rnacentral:rRNA from 1 species
CCUACGGGAGGCAGCAGUGGGGAAUUUUGGACAAUGGGCGCAAGCCUGAUCCAGCAAUGCCGCGUGAGUGAAGAAGGCCUUCGGGUUGUAAAGCUCUUUUGUCAGGGAAGAAACGGUGGGGGCUAAUAUCUCCUACUAAUGACGGUACCUGAAGAAUAAGCACCGGCUAACUACGUGCCAGCAGCCGCGGUAAUACGUAGGGUGCAAGCGUUAAUCGGAAUUACUGGGCGUAAAGCGUGCGCAGGCGGUUUUGUAAGUCUGUCGUGAAAGCCCCGGGCUCAACCUGGGAAUUGCGAUGGAGACUGCAAGGCUUGAAUCUGGCAGAGGGGGGUAGAAUUCCACGUGUAGCAGUGAAAUGCGUAGAGAUGUGGAGGAACACCGAUGGCGAAGGCAGCCCCCUGGGUCAAGAUUGACGCUCAUGCACGAAAGCGUGGGGAGCAAACAGGAUUAGAUACCCUGGUAGUCCACGCCCUAAACGAUGUCUACUAGUUGUCGGGUUUUAAUUAACUUGGUAACGCAGCUAACGCGUGAGUAGACCGCCUGGGGAGGAGGUCGCGAAGAGUAAAGUUAACGAAGUAAGUUAGUUAGNGNGNGAGNGCGACGACGACGACGAGGAGGAGG